GAACACUAACACACACAACUCGACAACAAAUAAAAAUCCGAUUUUCACAAACGAUCCCACGACAUAUUUAUUAUUAAAUAUUGUUCGUUUUGCAUUCAAUUGAUUCUCACUACAACAAUGGUUCAUCAUUAUUAUCAAUUUGUAGAAACCAUAAAGGUGAUAGUCCAAUUGUAUCAGUAAAAAAGAUGAAUAGCUGUUCGCUAUUUUUAGGGAUUGGUAAUCUUUUGGUUUUGUUUCCAUUAUUACGUUAUUUUGCCUAUUUUCAAUCAUGCAACAUUCUCUUAUUGUAACAUUGAAGAAAUCUUUUCCAAACGUUUUGCGGUUCUGUCUCUGUGCAUUUUUAGUUUAUGGAGGAUUUUGUUUUUGUGGUUGGGUCGUUUUUGGUCCUCAUCAUCUCAAAUUUCGUACGCUUAGUUCAACAUUGGAAUGUUUGUUUUCACUUAUAAACGGUGAUGAUAUGUUUGCUACAUUUUUUUCCACUUAUGUGAAAAAAGUCUUAUAUGGUGGUUUAGUCGCAUUUAUCUUUAUCUUUUCAUUUCAUUGUCCAUAUAUGUGAUAGUCUCGUUGUUCAUUGCCAUAAUACUCGAUGCAUACGAACGGUUCCUAUUUUUUUUUAAUAACAUGAAAACUUUUUUUAAUUUUUAUUUAAGAAAUUUUUAUUUAUGAUUGAAAUUUUUGAAAACAAAAUUUUAAAAAUACUUGCGCAUUCACUGUCUGAUCAGACAAUUUGCAUCUUAUUUCUUAAAGAUCAAUGUCAUUGGAGACAGUGAAGCGCAAAUGAUGGUUUUAACAGCAAUUGGUUCAAAAAAUACUUAAAACAAUAAUGUGCAACAAUUGAUUGAUAAUAUAUAAUCAUAAAAUUUGAAUUAGUAAUUAAAAAUGGGAAAUAAAAAGAAAAGUAUCACAUAUUUUGUUGUGUAUGUCAGGGAAUUUUAUGAAAACCAUAACAAUCCCACAGAUCGAAAUCCGAAUGAUCGAGCAUCAAAGGAUGCGACAAACAUUCAUAAACAUGUAAAUGUAAAUAUAAUUUGUUAGAAUUACAUUUGUUCUUUAAGUGUAUCGAGCAAUAUUAAUAUUGCUCGAUACACUUCUGGUAGAUAAAUUUUAUGUUUAUGUUGUAUUAUUUGUUAUUGUAAUACAAUUUGUUGUAAUAAAAUUGUUAUAUUGUGGUUA